UACGUAGGGUGCAAGCGUUGUCCGGAAUUAUUGGGCGUAAAGAGCUCGUAGGCGGCUUGUCGCGUCGUCCGUGAAAACCCACGGCUUAACUGUGGGCUUGCGGUCGAUACGGGCAGGCUGGAGUUCGGUAGGGGAGACUGGAAUUCCUGGUGUAGCGGUGAAAUGCGCAGAUAUCAGGAGGAACACCGGUGGCGAAGGCGGGUCUCUGGGCCACUACUGACGCUGAGAAGCGAAAGCAUGGGGAGCAAACAGG
rnacentral:rRNA from 1 species